rnacentral:lncRNA from 1 species
AAGGUAGUAGCCACGAGCAAGCAUAAAAGACAACUCUAAAUGGAUCUGAAACGUCCUUACGAAUACCAAACGGGAUCGUUUUAAAGUGCGCCUCUUCGUCAUUCACAAAAAAUUAGUAAUUCCCCGUUUAAUAAUAAUAAUAAUCUUAAGAAAAAAAAUGUUUUCCAAUAUUUAAUUUUUUAUCCAUCUUUGUCAAUUUAUUUAUUCGUUCUAUGGAUUAUAUUUUAACAGUAAAUAAUUUAGUAGUAUAUAUUAACGUCAUUUCGUUUUGACUUGUAUUAGGUACAGCAUUGAGUUGAGAAACGGAACAGUUUUUGGAGAAAACGGGAAAGUGAAGAAGACGCGCUGGAGUAGAAGGUGUGAUGGACGCGCAGGAGCAAGACAGGAAUUUGCAUAGUAAAAUAUGUGGGUGUGGUGUGAAUUUCUAAACCCCGUUUGUUCCAUUUAGGAGAAUAAGCAUGGAAAGAAGAAGAGAGUAAUGGUUGUGGAUAGCUUUGUGUGUGAGUGCGUCCUUUUUAUUCUCUUGUCCUCUGCUACUGCCUUUACAACAAAAAUAAUACUAAUAUUUUAUUUCUCCCUCAACACAUUUUAUUUUAUUUUAUAACAAAUUAAAUUCCCAUUAUUUUUCUUCAAAAUACUCUAUUAAAAUUCUUAAUAUAGGCAUAAAGGCAUUCUAUUUCGAGAAUUAAUAUUCUUGUUAUGGUAUGUCCAAAAUUCAAAAUCAAUGUUUAAUAGUUUAUAACAAAAAUUCUUUUAAUUCAUAAAAAUAUCUUUUAAAAUAAAAUCGUGAUAAAAUUAAAAUAUUUUAAAAAAAAUACCUCAUAUGCUUUUGGUUAAUAUAAUAUUUUUUUCUAAAUAAAUUAAAAAGAAUCAUAUUUCACAUAACGAUACAAUCCUUGGGUUUAUGCAAUUUUGUAGGUCAUCCAUAAAACAAAAAAGUUAAGAGGAAUCUAUUCCCUUAUCUUGUAGAUCUCCCAGCCGUUGGAUCUUCACAGGUAAUCCCAUGGAAUUGGACUUGGACCGUUGGAUGGGAUCCUGUAGUGUCAGAUGGUCCCACCCGCACUCAUCGCCUCCACCGCCCACCCUUUUCAGCCAAAACCGGCUAAAGGCGAUUCAGGUUUGCUAGCCAUCACACUGUGGGCGCCCGCAUUGCAAGAGAAAAUUUUGCACCGUUGGAUCUGCUCAAUGGAGAUUAUGUUUUAACCAUCGAAGCGCGAAAUUUAGAAGGAAAAGUCAAAUUGGUUUCAUUUUCAGACACAGUUACAAAGUGCAAAAUAUUUAUAAUUAAUUAUUAAAAAAUUGUUUGGGAAUAUCAAGGAAAAAGAGGGGGUUUUUAAAGAAUAUACCUUUUGAUAUUCGGAUCCUAGAAUGCACGUGCCAUGUUUGAGGGUGAGUCAUCGAUGGGGUGGCUCAUCUCACACACACGCACACACAUGUCACCACUCACCAACACAACACAGCAUUUUCCAAAGAAGAUAAUAUAAAUAUAAUGUGUUGUUUUUGUUUUUGGAGAAAAUAUUGCGAAAUAGGAAAAGAAAGAAGCAAGAAAAAAAGUAGCAUGUGGAUCUGGACUCUGGACUUAGACCAUGUGUGCUUCUUUGUCCCACCAGAUCUUCCCUCUAUAUCUUAUUCUCACCACUUCCACUUGCACAGUUUCAACUUUUUCAAAAUAAAUUUUUUUAAUUAAUUUGUACAAUUAGGUAUCUUUACACUGUGCCCUACAACUCCAAACAUUACAUGAAAAAUUCAUUCAUCUUUGAAAGUUAACACACAUAGAACACAUGCUACAAAGCGGAAUGAAUACUACUUACAAUUACAAGAUAACAACACAAUAGAGCUUGAUAAAGAAAUAAUGGGUGAAGAAAUAGUGUUGAAAUAUCUGAAAAAUGUUUGUUUUGUUUAUUGUUUGAUUGAUGGGUGUGAGAUAAAUAUUUGUGGAAGGAGUUGAGAAAAUGGGAUUUGGAUGAGGGAGAUGAAAUGUAGAAAAAGGAAAGUGGGAAAAGAAUACAAGUGGAAGUAAAGGUUUGGAGGAAUGGGAAGGGUAGACUGAGAGUGACGUUUCUCCAUCCCCAAUUCUCCACAAACCACAAUCGUCCCUUUCACCACUUUAUGAUUCUUCUUCCAAUUCAAAGACCUUAGCAAUGGCUAAGGUAAUGCCACGUCUCCACAUGUUUUUUCAACAACAAAAAAUCUACCCUGCAAUCAAAGCAUAUUCUACCUUCAUUGUAACGAUUUUCCUGAAAUACAAGUAUUGCAUUCCAGACUAUUUACAGAUGUGAAUUGCUACACGUAGAAGAAAUAGUAUCACUUAAAAGAGAAACAAAAUUAUAUAAAAUCGAUUACUGAUUAUAACAUGUAAAUUGCCC